CACUAGUGAUUCUCCUGGAAACGGGUGGUAAUGCCGGAUGCUCCGGUUGGAUGCAUGUCCUUCCGGGAAAGAUUUCAUCGGUAUGGGAUGGGGUCGCGUCCUAUCAGGUAGUCGGCGGGGUAACGGCCCACCGAGCCUACGACGGGUAGCCGGCCUGAGAGGGCGACCGGCCACAUUGGGACUGAGAUACGGCCCAGACUCCUACGGGAGGCAGCAGUGGGGAAUAUUGCACAAUGGGCGCAAGCCUGAUGCAGCGACGCCGCGUGCGGGAUGACGGCCUUCGGGUUGUAAACCGCUUUUGAUCGGGAGCAAGCCUCCGGGUGAGUGUACCUUUCGAAUAAGCACCGGCUAACUACGUGCCAGCAGCCGCGGUAAUACGUAGGGUGCAAGCGUUAUCCGGAAUUAUUGGGCGUAAAGGGCUCGUAGGCGGUUCGUCGCGUCCGGUGUGAAAGUCCAUCGCUUAACGGUGGAUCCGCGCCGGGUACGGGCGGGCUUGAGUGCGGUAGGGGAGACUGGAAUUCCCGGUGUAACGGUGGAAUGUGUAGAUAUCGGGAAGAACACAAUCGAAUUC
rnacentral:rRNA from 1 species